rnacentral:ncRNA from 1 species
UUUUUUACGCAUGAUAAACCACCUCUAUACAUUUUACUGUUCCUAUUAAAAAAGAAACAGGUAUAGAAAAACGUAUGAUGUGGUUACUCAAUUCACAUUAUAAAUACCAUUCAAAGAAAAAUUACUGGCAGAUAGCAAUAAAAAAAACCGUUAUCUGGCAGUACCCUUUUCAUGCCUUAAAAGUAUAUCCCAUUUCCCAGACGACGGUUUAAAUAGCUGUCGUCUCUCUUUUUG